GACGAACGCUGGCGGCGUGCUUAACACAUGCAAGUCGAACGGAAAGGCCCUGCUUUUGUGGGGUGCUCGAGUGGCGAACGGGUGAGUAACACGUGAGUAACCUGCCCUUGACUUUGGGAUAACUUCAGGAAACAGGGGCUAAUACCGUAUAUGAGCUCCUGCUGCAUGGUGGGGGUUGGAAAGUUUCGGCGGUUGGGGAUGGACUCGCGGCUUAUCAGCUUGUUGGUGGGGUAGUGGCUUACCAGGGCUUUGACGGGUAGCCGGCCUGAGAGGGUGACAGGCCACAUUGGGACUGAGAUACGGCCCAGACUCCUACGGGAGGCAGCAGUGGGGAAUAUUGCACAAUGGGCGGAAGCCUGAUGCAGCAACGCCGCGUGCGGGAUGACGGCCUUCGGGUUGUAAACCGCUUUCGCCUGUGACGAAGCGUGAGUGACGGUAAUGGGUAAAGAAGCACCGGCUAACUACGUG
rnacentral:rRNA from 1 species